UACGACUACAUAUCAGGCAUAUCAAUAAGCGGAGGAAAAGAAACUAACAAGGAUUCCUUAGUAACGGCGAGUGAAGCGGGAAGAGCUCAAAUUUGAAAUCUUCAAGGUUCUACCUUGACGAAUUGUAGUUUAAAGAAGUGUUUUCUGUUAGAUGAGUAGCAAAAGUUCCUUGGAAUGGGACAUCAUAGAGGGUGAGAAUCCCGUAUUUGGUUAUUCAUUCUAGCUUUGUGAUACACUUUCAAAGAGUCGGAUUGUUUGGGAAUGCAGUCCAAAAUGGGUGGUAAAUUUCAUCUAAAGCUAAAUAUUGGCGAGAGACCGAUAGCGAACAAGUACCGUGAGGGAAAGAUGAAAAGAACUUUGAAAAGAGAGUUAAACAGUACGUGAAAUUGUCAAAAGGGAAGCGUUUGACACCAGUGUUGUUUUUCCGAAAAUCAAUUACGAAUGGCUUGAUUUUGUGUUGUAUUGACCUUAUCAGCUUUCUUCACUUUUUUCGAGUCUUUCUUAAUGCACUUUUCGGUUAACAAGUCAACAUCAAUUUCUUUUGUUGUAAAAGAGUAUUCGGAAGGUGGCUUUCUUUUCGGAGAAAGUGUUUAUAGCCCUAUACUUCUACAAUCGGAGAGAUUGAGGUCUGCAGCGUAGAUCCUUCGGGGUUAGAUACAUUUGUGCUAAGUUGUAGCUUUUCAUAGACAACUUGUUGACUAUGUUUAGUCAUGCGGCUUACUCGCUUAGUGCUAUUUUACCUACGCUUAGGAUGUUGAGUAGCGACAUACGCAC
rnacentral:rRNA from 1 species